GACGAACGCUGGCGGCGUGCCUAAUACAUGCAAGUAGAACGCUGAAGAGAGGAGCUUGCUCUUCUUGGAUGAGUUGCGAACGGGUGAGUAACGCGUAGGUAACCUGCCUUGUAGCGGGGGAUAACUAUUGGAAACGAUAGCUAAUACCGCAUAACAAUGGAUGACCCAUGUCAUUUAUUUGAAAGGGGCAAAUGCUCCACUACAAGAUGGACCUGCGUUGUAUUAGCUAGUAGGUGAGGUAACGGCUCACCUAGGCGACGAUACAUAGCCGACCUGAGAGGGUGAUCGGCCACACUGGGACUGAGACACGGCCCAGACUCCUACGGGAGGCAGCAGUACGGAAUCUUCGGCAAUGGGGGCAACCCUGACCGAGCAACGCCGCGUGAGUGAAGAAGGUUUUCGGAUCGUAAAGCUCUGUUGUAAGUCAAGAACGAGUGUGAGAGUGGAAAGUUCACACUGCGACGGUAGCUUACCAGAAAGGGACGGCUAACUACGUG
rnacentral:rRNA from 1 species